CCUACGGGGGGCAGCAGUGAGGAAUAUUGGUCAAUGGUCGGGAGACUGAACCAGCCAAGCCGCGUGAGGGAUGAAGGUACAGAGUAUCGUAAACCUCUUUUGUCAGGGAACAAAGGCGGGGACGUGUCCCCGGAUGAGUGUACCUGAAGAAAAAGCAUCGGCUAACUCCGUGCCAGCAGCCGCGGUAAUACGGAGGAGGCGAGCGGUCUCCGGAUUUAUUGGGGUGAAAGGGGGCGCAGGCGGUCUGUUAAGUCAGCGGGCAAAGCCCGGGGCUCAACCCCGGCCCGCCGUUGACACUGGCAGUCUCUAGUUGGAGGGAUGUAUGCGGACUGCGCGGUGUAGCGGUGACCUGCAUCGCUCUCGCGCAGAACUCCGAUUGCGAAGGCAGCAUGCCGGCUCCACACUGACGCUGAGGCACGAACGCGUGGGUAUCGAACAGGAUUAGAUACCCUAGUAGUC
rnacentral:rRNA from 1 species